UGUUUAUCCGAGGGGUGUCCGGCAUGGGGCCGGGCUGAGAUUUACCCUUUGAACCUGAUCCGGCUCAUACCGGCGCGAGGGACGGAGGCGAUGCCAUGA
rnacentral:ncRNA from 2 species